rnacentral:rRNA from 1 species
AUGCAGAUUACCCACCUUCAGAUUAUAGGUAGCAUGCAGUGCGGCACAUUGUUCGUGCAUUGGAAAUCUGGGUUGCCGCACUUUGGCGCUUUGCAAAUCGAUACUACUUGGAGGUGUAUUCAUCAUUGGGCUUUCAGUUUAAUGAAAUUGGUGGCAACUGGAUGUGUGUGCAAGUUGGAGAUGUCAGGUGGGUGUGGGACUGCCUACAGUUUUGCGGUGACCCACCCUAUUAUUGAUCAUGAUCUUUCGCAGUUCCGCUAUCCAGGCAGCAAUGCUCUCUUCUCUUGGGAAUGCCAAAUGAGUGCACAAUCCUUGCAAUGGUGGGACUGGGCAAAGGACAAAGGCAGGAACAGAAAGAAUCCCAUUAAUCCCCAGCAUGUGCAUCCGCUAAGAUUCGAGCUAUGUGAUUGCUGGUAG